rnacentral:rRNA from 1 species
GACGAGGGAUCCUAGCGUUGCUCGGAAUCAUUGGGCGUAAAGCGGGUGUAGGUGGCUUGACAAGUCAGGUGUGAAAGCCCAGGGCUCAACCCUGGAAGUGCAUUUGAAACUGUCGAGCUUGAGUGCUAGAGAGGUUAUUAGAAUACCUGGUGUAGUGGUGAAAUACGUAGAUAUCAGGUGGAACACCGGAGGCGAAGGCGGAUAACUGGCUAGACACUGACACUGAGACCCGAAAGUGCGGGGAUCAAACAGG